AUUGAACGCUGGCGGCAUGCCUUACACAUGCAAGUCGAACGGUAGAGUAGCAAUACUUGAGAGUGGCGAACGGGUGAGUAAUAUAUCGGAACGUGCCCAACUGUGGGGGAUAACGUAGAGAAAUUUACGCUAAUACCGCAUACGAUCUAAGGAUGAAAGCGGGGGAUCGCAAGACCUCGCGCAGUUGGAGCGGCUGAUAUCAGAUUAGCUUGUUGGUGAGGUAAAAGCUCACCAAGGCGACGAUCUGUAGCUGGUUUGAGAGAACGACCAGCCACACUGGGACUGAGACACGGCCCAGACUCCUACGGGAGGCAGCAGUGGGGAAUUUUGGACAAUGGGCGAAAGCCUGAUCCAGCAAUGCCGCGUGCAGGAAGAAGGCCUUCGGGUUGUAACGUAG
rnacentral:rRNA from 1 species